GGCUCAGAGUGAACGCUGGCGGCAGGCCUAACACAUGCAAGUCGAACGGCAGCACAGUGGUAGCAAUACCAUGGGUGGCGAGUGGCGGACGGGUGAGGAAUACAUCGGAAUCUACCUUUUCGUGGGGGAUAACGUAGGGAAACUUACGCUAAUACCGCAUACGACCUUAGGGUGAAAGCGGAGGACCUUCGGGCUUCGCGCGGAUAGAUGAGCCGAUGUCGGAUUAGCUAGUUGGCGGGGUAAAGGCCCACCAAGGCGACGAUCCGUAGCUGGUCUGAGAGGAUGAUCAGCCACACUGGAACUGAGACACGGUCCAGACUCCUACGGGAGGCAGCAGUGGGGAAUAUUGGACAAUGGGCGCAAGCCUGAUCCAGCCAUGCCGCGUGGGUGAAGAAGGCCUUCGGGUUGUAAAGCCCUUUUGUUGGGAAAGAAAAGCAGUCGGUUAAUACCCGA
rnacentral:rRNA from 1 species